rnacentral:rRNA from 1 species
CGGGACGGGUGAGUAACGCGUGGGUAACCGUGCCUUGUACAGGGGAGUAACAGUUGGAAACGGCUGCUAAUACCGCAUAAGCGCACGGCAUCGCAUGAUGCAGUGUGAAAAACUCCGGUGGUAUAAGAUGGACCCGCGUUGGAUUAGCUAGUUGGUGAGGUAACGGCCCACCAAGGCGACGAUCCAUAGCCGACCCGAGAGGGUGAACGGCCACAUUGGGACUGAGACACGGCCCAA